rnacentral:rRNA from 1 species
CCCUUAGAUGUCCGGGGCCGCACGCGCGCUACACUGAAGGAAUCAGCGUGGCUUUCUCCCUGACCCGAUAGGGUUGGGAAACCCGUUGAAUCUCCUUCGUGAUAGGGAUUGGGGCUUGAAAUUGUUCCCCAUGAACGAGGAAUUCCCAGUAAGCGCGAGUCAUAAGCUCGCGUUGAUUACGUCCCUGCCCUUUGUACACACCGCCCGUCGCUACUACCGAUUGAACGGUUUAGUGAGGGCCUCGGAUUGGUCUCGGCCCGCUCUUUACCGGGCGGCGCCGUUGGUCGAGAAGACGCUCGAACUUGAUCGUUUAGAGGAAGUAAAAGUCGUAACA